rnacentral:rRNA from 1 species
AGUGAACGCUGGCGGUAGGCCUAACACAUGCAAGUCGAACGGCAGCACAGUAAGAGCUUGCUCUUGCGGGUGGCGAGUGGCGGACGGGUGAGGAAUACAUCGGAAUCUACUUUUUCGUGGGGGAUAACGUAGGGAAACUUACGCUAAUACCGCAUACGACCUACGGGUGAAAGCAGGGGAUCUUCGGACCUUGCGCGAUUGAAUGAGCCGAUGCCGGAUUAGCUAGUUGGCGGGGUAAAGGCCCACCAAGGCGACGAUCCGUAGCUGGUCUGAGAGGAUGAUCAGCCACACUGGAACUGAGACACGGUCCAGACUCCUACGGGAGGCAGCAGUGGGGAAUAUUGGACAAUGGGCGCAAGCCUGAUCCAGCCAUACCGCGUGGGUGAAGAAGGCCUUCGGGUUGUAAAGCCCUUUUGUUGGGAAAGAAAAGCAGCAGGUUAAUACCCCGCUGUUCUGACGGUACCCAAAGAAUAAGCACCGGCUAACUUCGUG